AUACGGAGGGUGCGAGCGUUACCCGGAGUCACUGGGCGUAAAGCGUCCGUAGGCGGUCGGGUAAGUCGGGUGUGAAAGCCCCGGGCUCAACCUGGGAAGUGCACCCGAUACUGCUCGACUCGAGUGCGGGAGAGGAUGGCGGAAUUCCCGGUGUAGCGGUGAAAUGCGUAGAGAUCGGGAGGAACACCAGUGGCGAAGGCGGCCAUCUGGCCCGCAACUGACGCUGAGGGACGAAAGCGUGGGGAGCAAACAGGAUUAGAAACCCUAGUAGUCC
rnacentral:rRNA from 1 species